rnacentral:rRNA from 1 species
CACGUAGGGCGCAAGCGUUGUCCGGAAUUAUUGGGCGUAAAGAGCUCGUAGGCGGUCUGUUGCGUCCGCUGUGAAAACUCGGGGCUUAACCCCGAGCCUGCAGUGGAUACGGGCAGACUAGAGGUAGGUAGGGGAGAAUGGAAUUCCCGGUGUAGCGGUGAAAUGCGCAGAUAUCGGGAGGAACACCGGUGGCGAAGGCGGCGCUCUGGACCGAGACUGACGCUGAGGCGCGAAAGCGUGGGGAGCAAACAGGG